UAAAAGGGUCGGUUGGCUAAAUAUGCCACGCCCACCCUUGUCUGGUGGGUGCCGUAUGGCUAUCAAGACAUAUGGCCGACAUAAUUUGUGGGAACAAAUAGGGUUGGCUCGCUCGGCCGACCCUCCA
rfam:Gossypium raimondii chromosome 5, whole genome shotgun sequence.